AUGAUUUUCACAAUCGUAUCAGUGCAAGCUCAUAGGUACGUCAACAACAAGUUAAGCAAUAAGUACAAGGCGGCGAUGAGAGAGACAAAGAAUAAUCGAGUUUUGAUUGGGACCCUGUUGUGGGAGAAAUGGCUAUAUUUGAAGGGUCCAGAAUCCAUGUGGCAGCAUGACAUGUACUCGGAUGCCUCUGCGAGAGGCGGCGGUGGCAGGAGGGUCUCGGCUAUUGAGACCGACACCAAGCUCUUCAUCGUCAAUUUGGACUUCGGCAUUUCAACUGAGGACGUGAAGAAUGCUUUUGCAGUUUCCUGUUCAUAG
rnacentral:rRNA from 1 species